UACAGAGGUGGCAAGCGUUGUUCGGAAUUACUGGGCGUAAAGGGCGCGUAGGCGGCCUUCUAAGUCGGACGUGAAAUCCCCAGGCUUAACUUGGGAACUGCGUCCGAUACUGGAGGGCUCGAGUGCGGGAGAGGGAUGUGGAAUUCCAGGUGUAGCGGUGAAAUGCGUAGAUAUCUGGAGGAACACCGGUGGCGAAGGCGGCAGCCUGGACCGACACUGACGCUGAUGCGCGAAAGCCAGGGGAGCAAACGGG
rnacentral:rRNA from 1 species